rnacentral:rRNA from 1 species
AGCUCCAAUAGCGUAUAUUAAAGUUGUUGCUGUUAAAAAGCUCGUAGUUGAAUUUGUGGUUUGCAGCGUGGUCCCAGCACUUGUUGUUGGUUUGCUCACGGUGUGACCAUCUUUGGGUGGAAUCUGCCUGGCAUUAGGUUGUCGGGCAGGGGAUGCCCACCGUUUACUGUGAAAAAAUUAGAGUGUUCAAAGCAGGCUUAGGCCUUUGAAUAUAUUAGCAUGGAAUAAUAAAAUAGGACCCCGGUACUAUUUUGUUGGUUUGCGUACCGAGGUAAUGAUUAAUAGGGAUUGUUGGGGGUAUCCGUAUUCCACUGUCAGAGGUGAAAUUCUUGGAUUUUUGGAAGACGAACUACUGCGAAAGCAUUUACCAAGGAUGUUU